GUUCAUUCGAGGACAUCCAAUAAAAUUGGAACGAUAUAAAGAAGAUUAACAUGACUCGUGCACAAUAUAACAUGCAUAAAUUAAUAAAUAUAUUACUCUCCC